GUUAAUCACUUUUAUUUUGAACCAACUUGGGGGCUUCUUUGGGAGAUAAUUCUCUCCCUCCUAUGUCAGAAGUUAUAUACUAAGAUGAUGCUGGAUAUUUAUAACACUUAUCAGAAGAUUAUCUACUUCUAUCUAUAGCAGUUUUAUAAUCUUGCAUACUUUACAAAUGUUGCAGAGAAAACUCUAAAAUGCCAUGAAUUCAUUAUUAAUACACCAUGUGCUUUAAUCAUUCUUUAAAUAAAAUGUUACU